AUUGAACGCUGGCGGCAGGCCUAACACAUGCAAGUCGAGCGAGCGGCGGACGGGUGAGUAAUGUAUGGGGACUGCCCGAUAGAGGGGGAUAACUACUGGAAACGGUGGCUAAUACCGCAUACUGUCGGAUAACCCAUAUGGGAUUAGCUAGUAGGUAAGGUAAUGGCUUACCUAGGCGACGAUCCCUAGCUGGUCUGAGAGGAUGAUCAGCCACACUGGGACUGAGACACGGCCCAGACUCCUACGGAGGCAGCAGUGGGGAAUUUUGGACAAUGGGGGCAACCCUGAUCCAGCCAUCCCGCGUGUGCGAUGAAGGCCUUCGGGUUGUAAAGCACUUUUGGCAGGAAAGCGGUACCUGCAGAAUAAGCACCGGCUAACUACGUGCCAGCAGCCGCGGUAAUUC
rnacentral:rRNA from 1 species